ACCCUUGUAUUAUGACCACUCUAACCCGCACCACUGAUCGUGGUGGGAGACAGUGUCAGGUGGGCAGUUUGACUGGGGCGGUCGCCUCCCAAAAGGUAACGGAGGCGCCCAAAGGUUCGCUCAGAAUGGUUGGAAAUCAUUCGCAGAGUGUAAAGGCACAAGCGAGCUUGACUGCGAGACAGACAGGUCGAGCAGGGACGAAAGUCGGGCUUAGUGAUCCGGUGGUUCCGCAUGGAAGGGCCAUCGCUCAACGGAUAAAAGCUACCCUGGGGAUAACAGGCUUAUCUCCCCCAAGAGUCCACAUCGACGGGGAGGUUUGGCACCUCGAUGUCGGCUCAUCGCAUCCUGGGGCUGUAGUCGGUCCCAAGGGUUGGGCUGUUCGCCCAUUAAAGCGGUACGCGAGCUGGGUUCAGAACGUCGUGAGACAGUUCGGUCCCUAUCCGUCGCGGGCGUAGGAAAUUUGAGAGGACCUGUCCUUAGUACGAGAGGACCGGGAUGGACAUACCGCUGGUGUACCAGUUGUUCCGCCAGGAGCAUCGCUGGGUAGCUAUGUAUGGAUGAGAUAAACGCUGAAAGCAUCUAAGUGUGAAACUCGCCUCAAGAUGAGAUUUCCCAUUCCUUUGGAAGUAAGACCCCACAGAGAUGAUGUGGUAGAUAGGAUGGAAGUGGAAGUGCGGUGACGCAUGGAGCGGACCAUUACUAAUCGGUCGAGGACUUAACCAAG
rnacentral:rRNA from 2 species